rnacentral:rRNA from 1 species
UACAGAGGUCCCAAGCGUUGUUCGGAUUCACUGGGCGUAAAGGGUGCGUAGGUGGUGAGGUAAGUCGGAUGUGAAAUCUCCGGGCUCAACCCGGAAAUGGCCUUGAAUACUAUCCGGCUCGAGGGUUGGAGGGGGGACUGGAAUUCUCGGUGUAGCAGUGAAAUGCGUAGAUAUCGAGAGGAACACCAGUGGCGAAGGCGAGUCCCUGGACAACACCUGACACUGAGGCACGAAAGCUAGGGGAGCAAACGGG